AGGUACCGAACUUCUGAAAUUAUGAAGUUACGGCGGAAUGUAAUAUACCGAAUUUUUAAUAUAAAAAUAAAUAUAAAUAAAAAUAGUGUGAAAUACUAUUUUUAUUUGACUUAGAGAAGUAAAAUAGAAGUCGGAAACGACUUCUGCUGAAUGAACCUGAAACAGAAGAUUUGAAAUUUUCUGUUGAAAAUGGGGCUGAUAUUUUAGCAGAAAAUACACAGUGUCAGAAAAUUAUGAAAACUUGGAAAUAUGUCGGGAUUAUUUUUAUGAGGCUAGAUUUAAAGUUUCAUGUCAAUCCGACAUCCGGAAAAUGAAAAAUAAAAUCUGACUGCCAUCUGCUAGAGAUUACUGUUCGGUAGAGCUUUCGGUGACCAAACAGGGUCGAAACUGAAAGAUUAAAAUUUCUUU
rnacentral:lncRNA from 1 species